CCUACGGGUGGCAGCAGUGGGGAAUAUUGCACAAUGGGGGAAACCCUGAUGCAGCAACGCCGCGUGAGUGAGGAAGUAUUUCGGUAUGGAAAGCCCCAUCAGCCGGGAAUAGAAAAGAAGGUACCUGAAAAAGAAGCCCCGGCUAACUACGUGCCAGCAGCCGCGGUAAUACGUAGGGGGCAAGCGUUAUCCGGAUUUACUGGGUGGAAAAGGAGCGUAGGCGGAAAGGCAAGUCAGAAGUGAAAGCCCAAGGCUCAACCAUGGGACUGCUGUUGAAACUGUCGAACUCGAGUACGGGAGAGGUAAGAGGAAGUCCUAGUGUAGCGGUGAAAUGCGUAGAUAUUAGGAGGAACACCAGUGGCGAAGGCGGCUUACUGGACCGAAACUGACGUUGAGGCUCGAAAGCGUGGGGAGCAAACAGGAUUAGAUACCCUAGUAGUC
rnacentral:rRNA from 1 species